rnacentral:rRNA from 1 species
CCCGGCGACCGGCGCACGGGUGAGUAACACGUAUGAAACCUGCCCGUAGCAGGGGGAUAAGCGGAAGAAAUUCCGUCUAAUACCGCGUAACAACCCAUGGAGGCAUCUCUGUGGGUUUAAAGGAAGCGAUUCCGGCUACGGAUGGUCAUGCGUCGCAUUAGCAUGUUGGCGGGGUAACGGCCCACCAAGGCGACGAUGCGUAGGGGUUCUAAGAGGAAGGUCCCCCACACUGGUACUGAGACACGGACCAGACUCCUACGGAAGGCAGCAG